GACGAACGCUGGCGGCGUGCCUAAUACAUGCAAGUCGAGCGGACAGAUGGGAGCUUGCUCCCUGAAGUCAGCGGCGGACGGGUGAGUAACACGUGGGCAACCUGCCUGUAAGACUGGGAUAACUUCGGGAAACCGGAGCUAAUACCGGAUACGUUCUUUUCUCGCAUGGGAGAAGAUGGAAAGAUGGUUUCGGCUAUCACUUACAGAUGGGCCCGCGGCGCAUUAGCUAGUUGGUGAGGUAAUGGCUCACCAAGGCGACGAUGCGUAGCCGACCUGAGAGGGGGAUCGGCCACACUGGGACUGAGACACGGCCCAGACUCCUACGGGAGGCAGCAGUAGGGAAUCUUCCGCAAUGGGCGAAAGUCUGACGGAGCAACGCCGCGCGAACGAUGAAGGCCUUCGGGUCGUAAAGUUCUGUUGUUAGGGAAGAACAAGUACCAGAGUAACUGCUGGUACCUUGACGGUACCUAACCAGAAAGCCACGGCUAACUACGUGCCAGCCGCCGCGGUAAGAC
rnacentral:rRNA from 1 species